rnacentral:ncRNA from 2 species
AUAAAUAAGUUUUAAAACGGUCCUUGACGAAAUAAUGAAAACAGAAAAAAUGAUUUAAGAUAGGUUAAAAGGUAAGCUCGGUGAGAAACCGGCGCAGUUUCCCCUACUGUAACACAGAUGUUGUGAAGCCAGAAAACUGCCGUUUUGUGAAUUUAAAU